AUAUGGAAGCAAAUAAAAGGUAAUCCCGCUCACUCCCAAAAAAAUUUUGGUUACCCUCUUCUUCUCAUCUCCGUCGUGCGCCUUAAAUCCCCCAAAUAAAAGUUUGUUUUUUCUUCACCUGAAAUCCCCCAAAUUUCCCAUUUCCAACAACAGACUUCAAGGAAGAAAACCAGAAGAUGGGAUGGAAUCACCCAGACAUAUCGCUGGAAGAAAUGAUGAAACUGAUAAAAGGGUUUGUUGAUAUCCUGGUUUUGUCUUCUGGGUAUCAAUCCUCUGGUCUUCCCGCUCACUGGGACUUUGAUAACAUCAAGAGAGCCUUUCAAUGGGCCCUCUUCUUUGAAAAUGUCAGUAGUCUGUACCCUCUUUGAAAAUGUCUGACAAGAGAUGCUAAGUCAAAUUUUGUUCCAGAUCUUCAACAGCAGGCGGAGAAAGAGCUGCAAGCGCACAAAUCUCAGUUUUGGAAUCGAAACUGGCUUGUAUUGGUUCCAUGGAACGAAGUUGCUUGUUUCUUGAUCAAAAGAUCGCAUCACAAAACUUUAGAAUCUCUGAUCUCAAAUCUGAUAUCGAAAAUAUCGACACCAAAUAUGAUUCUAGUUCUCGAAAAUUGAAGUAAAUUUUUUUAUGUGUUUAGCGGUGUAGAUUUAUAGUUUAAAUUUUGAACUGAAAUGCAUUGCGUUGAAACUUAGGGCUGUGAAAAGUGAGAUUGAGGAGAUUGAAGAGGUGGAGAAGGAGAGAGUUAAGUUUUACGAAUUGAAAAUUUCAGAAAUGAAUGAGUUUAGAGAAUGUGAAGAGGUUUUUGACGGAAACUUGAACUCGAGUGCAAGAAUUGAGGAACAGUGUAAACGAGCUAAAGUCAACUUUUAUGGAACUUCCAGGCAACAAUGGUUAUAUGAGUAGUUCUGAGAUAGCUGAGGCAAAGAUGAAAAGGGCUGAACUGUUGGCUAUGAAAGAGAGUUUAACAAAAACCUUAGCUUCAAAUCACCAAAGAAGAGCAGAGUUGCAAAAGUAGGUUGAGAAUAUGCUGGUUGCACGAAGUCCUGAGAGAUGGAAACCAAUUCAGUCUGGCAAUAACAAAGGUGUCUGAUAACAAUAUAGCAAAUUCAUGAGGAUGAUUCAUGUUGUCGAAUCAAAUUUCUACCAUAAUUUCGGGUCAGUUUUUAAGUUCUCAUGCAAUAGGAUUGAAUUCUUUGUUGUUUUUGGUAGUAAUGAACUGUAACUUGGAAUUAAAUCUAUGUUAUGGAUUUAUAAUCCAUAUCAAAGGAGUCAUCAGGUGUAAAAGUGAAAACAAGUCAAUUGAACCAUGCAUAUAUUUUCAUUUGUCUGCGAGUUUUACACCUUGAAUAUGGUAUUUCCUUUUACAAUAUCUGCUCACUUUGUUUCUUUCUUAUACCCCUUAAAUAAGCCUGAGUUACUGAGAUAAGCAUAAUGUUUACAAGUUUAUUGGAGGAAUCAUAUAUACAACACCGAAAGGGCUGAAAACUUUUUGAUUUUAUUAGAGAAAAAAUACUAAGUAAGCAUCAAUUAACGGUACUGAUAAUUCCUAGAUCCUGUGAGAACCUAUAUCGCUUAUGAAGGCAAGAGCACAUGCCUUCGAUAUUCGCCUAGAGCCCAGAAUGGGAAUAUAUUUCUAUAUGCAGCAUAAUGUAUCAUACAAGUCCUCCAACAGACCCCUGUAAGUUCCUAUGAAAACCAAUAUUGUAGUUUAGAGAAAAGCACUAUUAAUUAGUGUUCGAUUUAGAUAUUGAUCAUUUAGAUAAGAAAGGACUCCAAAUCUUUUGGCAAUAGAUGCAUUAAUUUGCUAGAAGGAUCUGAUUUAUGUCUGACAUACCUGUUGAGCAAAUUCACAACUUUCCAUUUGUGAGUUAAUCAGUAGUCUUGCUGCUUUAUGUAAAGGUUCCGGAUCGACAUCAGCCUAGUUAGAAAGAGACAUACAGAGCAGGAAUUGAGGUUUGCUUUGAACUUCUUAUGUUUAAGGAUUGGUAUCAUGUUUCUUUAACCACUAAUAUCAGCAUAAUUUAUUUCCCAUAACCCUACUUGUCCUCCAUGAAUCAGACCCAUCAUUGCCCAUGAAGUUUGCACAAGAUGUGAGCAGCUCCCUUAAGCUAAAUAUCUAUAUUCUUGUUCAUAUUGAGGGGAAAACACUUAGAAAUAUUAAAUAUCGGUUUUGUUUGCAAAGUUGCUGUGAAGUUUUCUGUGUAUCCCAUUGUUGUUUCCUUUGAAUUUAUAUGUAAUAUAGUUGAUGUCAUCUAAGCCCUUCCUAUUGAGAUUGUUUUGAUUUUUUCAUGUAGGAGACAGCCUUGCAAUAUUGAGAGCAGAGUUAAAGAGUUAAAAUAAGCAUGUGAAAAAUUUGAAGAAAAAAUCUCUUUGGUCUAGAAUUUUGGAAGAGGUACUAGUAAAGCUGUAUAAAUUUUCUUUUUUGUUAAAUCAUUUUUCAUAUACUUAUGAUGAACUAAAAAAAAUGUGGUGUCCUUUUUAUCUUUUGCGGUGAACUCCAAGUCUAAAGGUAUGCGAGCUUUUGUACGUAAUGUUACAAGUGUCUUUUGCUGCUUGAUUUUGAAGUUAGUUCAUAUAUAUCAGUGGAAGUUUUAUGCCUUGUAUUCAUAGGUUAUGGAGAAGCUUGUAGAUAUCGUUCAUUUCUUGCACUUGGAGAUUCACGAGGCAUUUAGCGCUGCUGGAAUUAGUGGUGCACCUCAAGAUAACAACAUUAUGCUUUGGAAUGCUGUUAUAUUUGGGUAUAUUAUGAAAUAAGACUAGAGAAUCUUUAUGUACUUGCUUUUUAGAUUAAAGUUCUAUUAAAUUGUGCGAAUGUCUUUACUUGAUGGAUUUGCAGUCUAAUGCUAAUGUCUAUUAAAAUUUGGUGUUUUGGUUUGAAGCAUCAAUUUUUCUAUGUUCGUUUAGUUGAUUUGUUUGAUUUUCCCUUUAGAAGGUUGCUAUGCUCAAUAUAUGUUGAUGUAAUCUAUUUAAAAUUUCUGAGCGGUUUUAAAAUUUAUUUUGAUUAUUAUGUGAGGUUAGGUAACAAGGUGAAUAAUAUCGAUGAUUAUUACUUUGAUUAUUUAUGGUGCGAAGAUUAUAAGUAUAUCAAGGUGAUCUUUUCUGAUUGUCGUGAAACUUCUACAUCUCAGCCAAGGUUAGUCUCAAUUGAUCUAAAUUGUCUCCUUGUUCCACUAUUAGCUAAAACAAUAUGGUCGUUGAUUUUCUAACUUGCUUAAUAGAUUAGUUGUUUCAUGUUUGGAAACUUUUGAUGCUCUUGGUCUUAUGUCCUGUAGUCAUUGAAAAAAAUUUGGUUCUCAUUCUUCACUUAACAAGUCCAGUGGCACAUACAUAUGUAAACUAGGAAUUCAUUGGUUUCAUUGCUGUAAUCUCUCUUAUUCAAUAUCUAAUUCAUUUCCAUGGUUGAGAUAGUUAAGUUGUCAAUUUCCUCGAGUAUUAAUUUUUGCAUUCAUGUUAUUUCCCAUUCAUAUUUAACUUGUCAAUAUCAAUUUUUGUUUUAAUGCACUAUAAUUAUUUUCCCAAUUCUGCAGGGUACAUGAAGAUUGGAUAACCAGGAAUGUAGUCGAUGUAGUUUGCAUUGUAUUUUUUAUUACCAAGAUUUACUUGAUUAAGAAAAUGCAUUGUAUUUUUAUUACCUUGCAAUGUGUAUAGUCAUAGGUAAGUUCAACUAGUCAGUCUAUUUCUCAUAUGUAUUAUUUAUUUUAGUUUUGAUUCUAAACUUUUAUUUUUACUUUAAUAUUUACGACAACUUUUCUAA